UUUUAUGUUCAUCAAACCUUGGAGGAAAGUCAUAAUGAUAACUAGUAUCGUUGUAAGCAGGAGUCCUUUUGGGUUUCAAGAUCAUGGAUAUUUUUCUGACACAGUUAAGUGUUUGACGAUGAGUCAAUAACAAAAUUAGUGCUCUGAUACCGAUUGAAAGUGCAAAAAACACAAGAAAAGGGAGUUUGAAUUGAGUUUCCAGCUUGAAAACAUUUCCUUCACCCAAUCUAUUAAGCAGUAACGAUAAAGAUAAAAUACAUAAACACAAGUAUUUGUAUCCUGGCUCACCAUUAACUAGGUUACAUCCAGUCCACCCAUCAGGUGAUUUUCCUUAAACAAGGACUUAAUCCAAUAAUCAAAUCAUGAUUACAAAGCAAUGACAGUCUGCCAUUGAUUACCUCAAGUGCCUGACCUAUCCAGUUGCAUGGGAUACCCCGACGAUCAUUGACUCCUUAAGACCUGAUCUACUUGGUCUCUUAAGAAGAUUUCUCAAUGACUUCCUAUUACUGAUAUCUCAAGAGCUUUACCAACCUGGUUGCUUGAUGAACAUAACCAGACUAGGUUAAUGCAAUUUGUGUUUAUAUGUGUGCUUCUUAGAUAAGUAGAUUAUACAAAUUUACAAUUAGAAUGUACACUUAAGCUAGAUAUGAAAUGUAGAGAUUCUAAGUGCUUCACUUAUCUUAUCUCUUGUGAUUGCACAUUGUAUCGGUGUAUUCGUGACCAUAAAGCUAUGAAUAAACUCAACAUCAAUAAAAC
rnacentral:lncRNA from 1 species